AGAUGUCAAGUUUGUUAUUGGUAUGAGCUUUCGUGUGCAUGCACACUUCUUCAGAUACCUAGAAGUGUGCAUGCAAAUGAAAGCUCUUCAGAUAUCUGGAAGUGUGCAUGCACACGAAAGCUCACGCCAAUAACAAACUUAGUUGG
rnacentral:miRNA from 1 species